AUGCAACAAGCCUUCGUAAGCACAGGAACAGCAAAGGUACCGAAGAGUCAGUCAUCAAAAAUUGAAGCAUUUCAUCAGUCAAGUGUAUUUGAAGUCCCCACACCAAUAUCUGUUUUAGGUAACAUCAAAAGACAACAGGUUGGCUCUACAUCUGUGCCGAUGUGCACCUCCGAAGCUGAGAUGCAAAAGGAGAAUUUGGAGAUGGAUGGGAGCGAAGGUGAAGAAGGACAAGGAAGAGAAGCAGAGACAAGUGUGGAGCUAUUUGAGAAGGAGGGGACUGAAGAUCAAGUUGGACAAG